GGCUCGGGUUGAGGAGUUGGUAUUUGUGUGGAAGGAGGCGGAGGCGCAGGAGGAAGGGGGAAACAGAGCGCCGGCCGGGAGGGCGGGAGGAGGCGCGGCUAGGGCGGGCGGCUAAGGUGAGGCGAGGAGAGGCGGGGAGCCGGGACUAGCAGCGGCCGAGCGAACGCGGGGCGCACCGAGGCGAGGGAGGCGGGGAAGCCCCGCCGCCGCGGCCGCCGCGCCCGCCCCUUCCCCCCCGUCGCCCGCCCCCUCUCCCCCCGCCCGCUCGCCGCCUUCCUCCCUCUGCCUUCCUUCCCCACGGCCGGCCGCCUCCUCGCCCGCCCGCCCGCAGCCGAGGAGCCGAGGCCGCCGCGGCCGUGGCGGCGGAGCCCUCAGCCAUGGCCUCGGGCGACACCCUCUACAUCGCCAUGGACGGCUCGGAGAUGCCGGCCGAGAUCGUGGAGCUGCACGAAAUCGAGGUGGAGACCAUCCCGGUGGAGACCAUCGAGACCACGGUGGUGGGCGAGGAGGAAGAGGAGGAGGACGACGACGAGGACGGCGGCGGCGGCGACCACGGCGGCGGGGGCGGCCACGGGCACGCCGGCCACCACCACCACCAUCACCACCACCACCACCACCCGCCCAUGAUCGCGCUGCAGCCGCUGGUCACCGACGACCCGACCCAGGUGCACCACCACCAGGAGGUGAUCCUGGUGCAGACGCGCGAGGAGGUGGUGGGCGGCGACGACUCGGACGGGCUGCGUGCCGAGGACGGCUUCGAGGACCAGAUCCUGAUCCCGGUACCCGCGCCGGCCGGCGGCGACGACGACUACAUAGAGCAGACGCUGGUCACCGUGGCGGCGGCGGCGGCCGCAUUAAGAAGGGGGUGGCCGAAAGAAUGGCAAGAAGAGUUACCUCAGCGGGGGCCGGCGCGGCAGGCGGCGACACCGACCUGGGCAACAAGAAGUGGGAGCGGAAGCAGGUGCAGAUCAAGACCCUGGAGGGCGAGUUCUCGGUCACCAUGUGGUCCUCAGGUGAAAAAGAUACUGACGUGAGACAGUGGUUGAAGAACAAAUAAUUGGAGAGAACUCGCCUCCUGAUUAUUCAGAGUAUGUGACAAGAAAAAAACUUUCCUGGAGGAAUACCUGGGAUUGACCUCUCAGACCCCCAAACAACUGGCAGAAUUUGCUAGAAUGAAGCCAAGGAAAAUUAAAGAAGACUAUGGUCCAAGAACGAUAGCUUGCCCUCAUAAAGGCUGUACAAAGAUGUUCAGGGAUAACUCUGCCAUGAAAAACUUAUGCACACCCACAGUCCGAGUCCACAUCUGUGCAGAAUGUGGCAAAGCUUUUGUUGAGAGCUCAAAACUAAAAGGACACCAAUUGGUUUAAACUGGAAAGAAGCCCUUUCAGUGCACAUUUGAAGGCUGUGGGAAACUCUUUUCACUGGACUUCAAUUUGCGCACACAUGUGUGA